GCGAUCAUACCAAGACUAAUGCACCGGAUCCCAUCGAACUCCGAAGUUAAGCGUGCUUGGACGAGAGCAAGACUAGGAUGGGUGACCCCACAGGAAGUCCUCGUGUUGCACCU
rnacentral:rRNA from 1 species